AUGCCCUAUGCACGCAGCGCGGAAGAGGCCGAAGCACGGGCUGCUCUGUUCGGUCUGCAAGCUCUGGCAGAUGUGCACCGCGGCCCAGUGGAGCUGGAAUCAGACUGUAAAUCCAUAGUAGACACACUCACGGCUGAUGUGACUAACCGGGAGCCAUACUAUGGUAUUCUACAGGACUUAAAAGCAGCACUCGCUGGCUUCCAGGAGUUCAGAGUCAGUUUUGCCCCCCGAGAUUGCAAUCAUCUAGCCCAUGAACUGGCGGCUGAAGCUAGACAAAACGGAGAUCAGUUGAUCAUUGCAGAUGUUCCAGUCAGAUUAAGACAUCUGGUCCAAUCCGAGUGUGACCCUGCCUGA
rnacentral:rRNA from 1 species